rnacentral:rRNA from 2 species
AAAUUGAAGAGUUUGAUCAUGGCUCAGAUUGAACGCUGGCGGCAGGCCUAACACAUGCAAGUCGAACGGUAGCACAGAGAGCUUGCUCUCGGGUGACGAGUGGCGGACGGGUGAGUAAUGUCUGGGAAACUGCCCGAUGGAGGGGGAUAACUACUGGAAACGGUAGCUAAUACCGCAUAACGUCGCAAGACCAAAGUGGGGGACCUUCGGGCCUCACACCAUCGGAUGUGCCCAGAUGGGAUUAGCUAGUAGGUGGGGUAACGGCUCACCUAGGCGACGAUCCCUAGCUGGUCUGAGAGGAUGACCAGCCACACUGGAACUGAGACACGGUCCAGACUCCUACGGGAGGCAGCAGUGGGGAAUAUUGCACAAUGGGCGCAAGCCUGAUGCAGCCAUGCCGCGUGUAUGAAGAAGGCCUUCGGGUUGUAAAGUACUUUCAGCGAGGAGGAAGGCGUUGUGGUUAAUAACCACAGCGAUUGACGUUACUCGCAGAAGAAGCACCGGCUAACUCCGUGCCAGCAGCCGCGGUAAUACGGAGGGUGCAAGCGUUAAUCGGAAUUACUGGGCGUAAAGCGCACGCAGGCGGUUUGUUAAGUCAGAUGUGAAAUCCCCGGGCUCAACCUGGGAACUGCAUUUGAAACUGGCAAGCUUGAGUCUCGUAGAGGGGGGUAGAAUUCCAGGUGUAGCGGUGAAAUGCGUAGAGAUCUGGAGGAAUACCGGUGGCGAAGGCGGCCCCCUGGACAAAGACUGACGCUCAGGUGCGAAAGCGUGGGGAGCAAACAGGAUUAGAUACCCUGGUAGUCCACGCCGUAAACGAUGUCUACUUGGAGGUUGUGCCCUUGAGGCGUGGCUUCCGGAGCUAACGCGUUAAGUAGACCGCCUGGGGAGUACGGCCGCAAGGUUAAAACUCAAAUGAAUUGACGGGGGCCCGCACAAGCGGUGGAGCAUGUGGUUUAAUUCGAUGCAACGCGAAGAACCUUACCUGGUCUUGACAUCCACGGAAGUUUUCAGAGAUGAGAAUGUGCCUUCGGGAACCGUGAGACAGGUGCUGCAUGGCUGUCGUCAGCUCGUGUUGUGAAAUGUUGGGUUAAGUCCCGCAACGAGCGCAACCCUUAUCCUUUGUUGCCAG